rnacentral:lncRNA from 1 species
CGAGCCUCGUGCUCUUCUCGAAUUUUCUUCCUUCUCAAUUUUCAUCUCGUGAGUGUAGCAACAUGAAUUAUAGCUUGUCAAGCAAUACAUUUUCUCAGCGUUGAGAAGAUUCUGCUCCAUUUUUUCUGAUUAUGGAUUCUGUUCAGAAGGAAGCCGAAUUUUAAGUCAUCGUUCUAGGAUAGAUUCAGCUCCAUUUUCUCUGGUGGUAGAUCUCCAUGGAUGCUAUUGAGAAGGUACUUCUCAAAGUCCACGAGGACAAGGACAUCUUUCCACCGAAUGCCACCUGGUUUAUAACAAAAGCAUGAAAAACAAACAGGAAUUUCUCAAUGCAGAAAGGACUGAAGCUGUCAAAGGUGUGCUUUUUUUCUGCACAAACAAGUUUCCAUUGAAUGAUAGAAUAAAGAGAUACUGACUUCCCCGGAGCCUCCAAACUUGAGUAGUCAGGCAUUGGGAUCCGUGGAAGGCUUGUUAAAUCCAAAUAGAUUGGUCCUACUCCAUCCGCAGAGUUGCUGACGAGGUGCGUCCAGGCCUUCUCCUCACCUCUCAGGGAGAUAUACCAUGCAGUGCCUUCAGUUAUGGUGUUGUGACUGAGGAUGCUUCGGUCAGACAUGUCCCUGAAAACCUGCAUAGAGGAAUCUCUUGCCCCAAGUUUCAUUCCAAGUAUUUAAAUUGGAAUUGAGCAUCCUGUCAUGCCAGGGAUGAGAAUGCCUGGGUUACAUCAGUUAGCCCUCUCCUCUUGAGGAAUGGCAUAUUACCCAUUUUAGUUUAAGAACACAGAUGAAAAAUCACCAAGUAAAAAAGGAGCAUAGGGAGGAAUCCAGGAGAAACCAGGCUCAAGCUUCCAGCCACCCUCUUCCAGUGGAGUCAAGUGCACUGCACUUAAUUCUCCCAGCCAGGUGUGCGGCCACCUGUGCCAAGUGUUCCCAACCAGCUGCACUUCAAGGGAAGUUAUUGAAUAUGUCCUAUCCAACUAAAACAAGGAAAUGAUGAAAAAAAUAAAAUCACUUUCCAGAGGCCUCAGGGCUAACUGGAGACAGAGCUCAGACUGCAACUGAGAAAAGUUGGACUCCAAAACCUGUACUCUGAGCUUUACUGCAUGAGAAAGUUAUUGAAAUGUGCCUUGUGACAUUCAGAAUAAGUGACUUUUCAGAGGUCUCAGAGUCAGUAAGAGACAGAACUCAGAUUGUAACCAAGAAGAGCUGAACUCCAAACUUCUGUGUCCGGAAUUGGUGGGUUCUUGGUCUCACUGACUUCAAGAAUGAAGCGGCAGACCCUCGCGG